AGUAUGAGGUAGAGAAGCACAGUGGAACUGAUGGGCACAGAUCUCUGAACUCUCAGCCUGUAGCAAAGAUGGUAAUAAAUCUGAGGGACUUUUACAUGAACACAUUAAUUUACAGAUCAUUGGGAGUGGUCUGGUAUUUUGCUGUGGUCUUCCUUGCCCUGGGGACUGAAGUCCCAUUUGAUGUCACUGUUUGGUUAUAUGUUUACAAUAGACUCCCUUCGAGGAUUGGUUUUCUUACCUUUGCGCAGAAAGUCCUUUUUAAAAAUUUCUUAUGUGACGAUCGGUCAGUUAUUUUUGACUUCCAAAUUGCCAGCGGUUUAGACCAACUGUUUGAUUCAGACGGACCCCAAAAUUGGGUACGUUAAAGGAAAAACAGCUGGGCUGUUGGAAGAAGCGAGAACUAGCAAAGUCUUUGACUGAACUUUAGGGUGAGAACUGCCUGGGACGAAGAAAGCACAAUGGAAGAUGGCUGAAAGCCGCAAAAGACUACUGAGCACCCUGGAUCUGGGUAUCUUUGGACGAGUUCUUUUGAAUUGAUGGAUGUGUGAAACUGCUAAUAUGUAAACCACAAUCUGAUGGAUUUAGUGUGUAAGAGAAACAUGAGGACAGGUUAAAACAGGAGGUAAUCUUCUUGAAGAUGUAAAACUGCAGCACAACAGCAGUAAUGGGACAACCUAUUGCAGAAAGAUGUCGGCUGUGUCAAGGUGAGACAUAAUGAUGAAUGGCCUGAACUUCAGCUUGCAGGAGUUGCUAAGAAAAAUUGAACAGAACCUACCCUGGAAGAGAGAGCCCAGAGAAUUGCCAAAGCUGUCCGCAAACAGUCAAUAGAAGUGAAGGAAAAUUGGGAGCAAUUGAAAACCCGUGCGAGCAACUGGCAGAAACAGGUGGAAAAGGCGUUGGAGAAACUUCAAGAACUGCAGAAAGCUCUGGAUGAUCUUGAGGCUCAUGUGAUAACAGCUGAGGGGGUCCACACUGAUCAGCAACCUGUGGGUGACCUGCUUAUUGACUCAUUGCAGGGUCACAUUGAUAAAACCACAACCUCUUCAAACAAGGAGCUGAACCCACAGAAUUAUGUGACCAACAAAGCCUGAGCCUUUUGCUUCACAAUGCAGUCCAGAUCCCUCGGCAGCUGGGUGAGGUACCUUCAUUUGGAGGCAGCAACAUUGAACCAAGUGUCCGCAGUUGCUUCCAACAUGGCCAGAACAAACCAGAGAUUGAUGUUAAACACUUUGUAGAGUGGAUGAGAUUGGAGCCUCAGUCCAUGGUGUGGCUGCCUGUUCGACACCGUGUGGCAGCUGCUGAAACUGCAAAACAUCAGGCUAAGUGUAACAUCUGCAAAGAGUACCCACUCGUAGGUUUCAGACAACAUCAGGUGAAGAUGUGCGUGAUUUCACCAAGGUGCUGAAAAAUAAGUUCAGAUCAAAGAAAUACUUGGCCAAGCAUCCUCGUUUGGGUUAUUUCCCAGUACAAACAGUCCUAGAAGGACACAAUCAUCGCCUUGGAAGCUUCAUCACGAUACUACUUUGCAUUUCUGAAGAGGGAAGAAGAAAUCAACAUGCAAAUUCAAUUCCAUGGUUUUGGAAGUCCCUUUGAGAACACGAUUCAUUUGCGCCGGCAUAAUGCUCUGACCAAGAAAGAA